ensembl:lncRNA
AGCUGGUGGGGACGAGUUGGGGCAGUGGCAGCUGGCACAGUGACCCCCCUGAUUUCUGCGUGUCUGCUCUGCCCCAGGUACGAGGAGGAACCUGCGCAACGACCUGCUGGUCGCGGCCGAUUCCAUCACCAACACCAUGUCCUCGCUGGUGAAGGAGCUCCACUCAGCAGAGGAAGAAGACGAAGAAGAAACAGGGAAGCUGCAGAAUGGGAAGGACCGAGGUUAGGAGGGCAGCCGAGGCUGGACAGCAAUUCAGGUUCCUCCCAGCCCUGUGUGCCCAUGUGUCAGGGACUCAGGAGUUCAUGAUUCCUGGUUCUCUGGGGUCCGAGGUGAGGAGCUCUGGGGUCAGGGGGACUCUCGUGGGUCCCACAAGCUGGGUCUGCUCCAGGCUUUCCAGGAUGGCCCCAGGGGUGCACAGCCCCAGCCAGAAGGUUCAGGAGGUCAUAGAGUCAUGGAAUCAUUGGGGUUGGAAAAGCUCUGAGACCAUCCAGUCCAACCAUUCCCCAGCAAUGCCCAGGCCACCCCUGACCCCUGUCCCAAAGUGCCACAUCCACACAGCUUUUAAAUCCCACCAGAGAUGGGGACUCCAACCCUGCCCUGGGCAGCUGUGCCAGGGCUGCACAGCCCUUUCCAGGAAGGAAUUGUUCCCAGUAUCUCCAACCUGACCCUGCCCUGGCACAGCUUGGGGCCGUUCCCCCUUGUGCUGUCCCUUGUUCCCCGGGAGCAGAGUCCGAACCCCCCCACCCCCCUCAGGGAGUUCCAGAGAGCGAAAAGGUGCCCCCUGAGCCUCCUUUUGCCCAGGUCCCAGCAGGGACAGGUGGCUCUGGCUGUGCCCCAGGGGCUGGGCUGGAGCUCUGCUCCCCGUGGGUGCUGACGGGCGUUUCUGGUGCCGCAGGCGCGGAGGUCGCGCUCGCGGCCGAGGGACGUCUCCCGUCCUUGGGAAGAGGCACGUUCAGCCCAUCCAUCACCAUCGUGUGCAACUGUGACCGAUCUCCACCACCUGCUGCCCACACGGCCCUCCCACAGCCAGCGGGAGGGCUCUCCCACAGCCCCCCGGGGCUCUCCCCGAACACCCGGAGGACUCUCCUGCCCUCAGGCCAUUGCAUGUUCUCUCGCGUGUUCCCAGCGACGACCACACCAUGUCCCACCCGGCUCAGCGGGUCACGGGAGGCUUGAGAAAACAAAAAAAAAACCACCUGAAAGGAAAGUGCUGGUGGCUGUUCCCACUCCGUGCACGGCUCCGUCCCGGCCUCCUCCCGGGCGGUGCCACCGUCACCUCACACGCCGGUCCUUCCUCCUCGUGCGCAUGGAAAAAGGGGUGCAGGCCCUCCCGGGGUCCCUCCUGCGUGGCAUGAAGGGGAUUCUCUCUCAAAAACCCACCUUGGAGUGGGGUGUGAGGUGUGUCCUCCCGGGCUGGGUGCAGGUGAAGGGGUGUCUGACCAGGGGGCCGUGACGGGCCACCAACCUCCGGCAUUCCCGGCCUUGCUGGGAGCAGCUCCUCACGCUGUGGGAGCUUUCCCGUCCCCAGCAGGGAAUCUGGGGAGGAGCAUGGCCAGGCUGAGAGCUGCAGCUCCACUCCCAGCCCCGGGAGUUGGGUCCAGUGUUGGUUAAAAGCAAAGGAAAUAAGGGAGCAGGGGGUGGCAGGGGGUGGCAGCUCCCCGGUGACCCGCGCUGGGCUCCUCUGCCAUCGCUGGUCCCCAAAACCACCAGUCCCAGUCACGGGUGGUUUUCAGCAUUCUUUUUUUCCUGUGGUGCUUAGGAAUGUUAUUUUUAGUGGAAGGAGCCGAGGGCCCUGAUGCAUCCAUAAAUAUUUAUGGAGGGAUGCGAAGGGGGCCCACAAACCACUGGGAGCGCCCUCGCUCUGCCCCCCUCCCUGUCCCAACCAGGGCCCCACGGGAAACCCCUGGGUCCCCCCAGCCCACGGGAGAGGGGGAAUAAACACCCGUGGUGGCCACA